CCAGCGCUCAGGAGAAUAUUCCAGAGCGGGACGGCACUUUGGACGCUGAGCCAGACUGACCGCGGGGGAGCACAAUGAAUCUGUGCGGCGCAGUCACAGAGGCAGAAGAUAUACGUCCUGCUUGUAACGUCCCUCUGGAGCAUUGAACAACUCAAUCAGGGCCAGGGCCUAAAGACAACAUGAUCAAACGAGAGCUUUGGCCUCACAAAAGGUUGUCAUUCAGCACCUAAGUAUGUUAUAUAAAGAUGUGUCCCCACUGCAAGUGCAGAACUACUGACCUGAGUUGUAGCAGUGAUGGACAACACAAACGUAGGCACAGUGGAGCAGCUCAGAUUCAGAAGGCGACCCUGAGAGAUAACACAAUUCUCAUACAAACAACCAUCUAGAGAUGUGCAGUAACUACCAUUCAGUUCAUGUAAUGCCUCACCAGGAAGCACAGAAAACAAACUUGAGACAUGAUUUCUACAUGUGCAAGCAGGAAAUUACCUCUGCAAGCAUCACAACUCUCUUUCCAUCAGGCCAGAUGAUGUGGUCCACCUGCGAGCGCACCCUCUCCCAGGUCAGCUCAGGGCUGCGCAGACUUGCCUGAAGAGGACAAGAGUCAAUUCCUACAAUUGUCACAGAAAGUACAGUACAAUAUACACAUUAAACAUUUUACCACAUCAA